UUCUCUCGAACGGCCGGCAGCAGAAACCCUAGGGAAGCAAGGAGGACGGCGGCCGGGAGCAGAAACCCUAGAGUCUCUCGCACGGCCUGCGCAUCCUAAAGUUGACAAUGGCUGCUGUUGUGGAGGUCACGUUUGAUGCACAAAAACAUGUCAAUGUCUCCAAGGGGUCUAUUGUUGGUGAGGAUGGUGGUAUUGGAUACCUUGUGUACCCCAUGCCCCCAGCUGGCACUUUUGACCUGUCCACUGACAAGGAAUUACUCAAGAACAUCAAUCAAGAGCUCAUCGGUUGUAAAGGAGGUGAUAACGCCCGUGCAGGCAGCCCAAAGACACUGCGUAAGGCUCGCGAGAAAGCUGUUCGCAGGGCCUUUCUGGCCUAUCUAGGGCAGUAAAUGCAUUUGAACAUUGUCUCAACAAAUCUGAGUAUUAUGUGAAUAACACGUAUGAUAUGUGCUGGAA